rnacentral:pre_miRNA from 1 species
AAUAUAUUCUCUCCGUUCCAUAAUUCUUGUAGAAAUAUUACAUGUAUGUAGACGCUUUUUAGGAAUAGAUACAUCCAUUAUUGCGCAAAUUUGAGACAAGAAUUAUGGAACGGAGGGAGUAUAUA